rnacentral:rRNA from 1 species
CCUACGGGUGGCAGCAGUAGGGAAUCUUCCACAAUGGGCGCAAGCCUGAUGGAGUAACACCGCGUGAGUGAAGAAGGGUUUCGGCUCGUAAAGCUCUGUUGUUGGAGAAGAACGUGCGUGAGAGUAACUGUUCACGCAGUGACGGUAUCCAACCAGCAAGUCCCGGCUAACUACCGGCCAGCAGCCGCGGGAAUACGUAGGUGGCAAGCGUUAUCCGGAUUUAGUGGGCGUAAAGCGGGCGCAGGCUGUUGCUUAGGUCUGAUGUUAAAGCCGUCGGCUUAACCGAAGAAGUGCAUCGGAAACCGGGGGACUUGAGUGCGGAAGAGGACAGUGGAACUCCAUGUGUAGCGGUGGAAUGCGUAGAUAUAUGGAAGAACACCAGUGGCGAAGGCGGCUGUCUGGUCUGCAACUGACGCUGAGGCUCGAAAGCAUGGGUAGCGAACAGGAUUAGAUACCCCUGUAGUC